CACACUUUUAUAAUGUUUAUUGGAAUCUGCUUCAUUUUGAAAAAAAUGACUUUCCAUUUUUUUAAUCUGUUAUAGUUUCAGAUCCACAAAAGGAUGCAUCCAGCAACAUAGAUACCACAAGAUAAACGGUCAUCAUUAACUACCAUCAACAAGGUUUCGGAUCCACAAAAGCUAAAUAAAAAUAAUACUACACAUCAUUCAUUUAUUAAGGAAAACCUUUCUUGAAAGUUGCAUGCACAGAACAUCCUUCACAUUUGCCAUGGGGCACUUGACAAG